rnacentral:rRNA from 1 species
AGCGAACGUUUGCGGCGGGCUUAACACAUGCAAGUCGAACGAGAAUCCCUUCGGGGAGGAAAGUGGCGCACGGGUGCGUAACACGUGGAUAACCAACCCAUUGGUUUGGGACAACACCGGGAAACUGGUGCUAAUACCAGAUGUGUCGCAGCUGUCUUCAGGCGGUUGCGAGAAAGGCCCGCAAGGGUCGCCAACGGACGGGUCCGCGUCCCAUCAGCUAGUUGGUGAGGUAAUGGCUCACCAAGGCAAAGACGGGUAGCUGGUCUGAGAGGAUGAUCAGCCACACUGGAACUGAGACACGGUCCAGACUCCUACGGGAGGCAGCAGUGGGGAAUAUUGCGCAAUGGGCGAAAGCCUGACGCAGCCACGCCGCGUGAGCGAUGAAGGUCUUCGGAUCGUAAAGCUCUGUGGGGGGAGAAGAAGAAAGCCGGUGAAGAGCCGGCCCUGACGGUAUCCCCUUAGCAAGCACCGGCUAACUCCGUGCCAGCAGCCGCGGU